AUGAAGGAUUUAAUAAUCCGGCUAUGGCCUGCCGAAGCUAUGUACAACAACUACUUCGGGCUUGUGAAGCGGCUGGUCAAUGCCUGCCCUUGGCUUGAUGCUAUCAAGCAGUCGGUCUGCAUCGAAGGCGCGUGCAUGGCCUUCGCCCGAGUCAAGAUGCAUUGGGUGAAGUUGGAUGCCGUGAAGGUUGCGAUCGAGGGACCGCCAGCGGGCAAGGAGCACCACACGCCCAAGAUGUAUUUUGAUAGUGUCCUGGACGGAGCCCGCCGUGUGGCGGAGCAAUGUGCUAAGGAUCCUAAACAUGAAUGA
rnacentral:rRNA from 1 species